rnacentral:rRNA from 1 species
GGCCGUGCGGCAUGCUUAACAUGCAAGUCGAACGGCAGCGGGGGUGCUUGCACCUGCCGGCGAGUGGCGAACGGGUGAGUAAUGCAUCGGAACGCACCCAGUAGUGGGGGAUAACUUACCGAAAGGUAAGCUAAUACCGCAUACGCACUGAGGUGGAAAGCAGGGGACCUUCGGGCCUUGUGCUAUUGGAGCGGCCGAUGUCGGAUUAGCUAGUUGGUGAGGUAAAGGCUCACCAAGGCGACGAUCCGUAGCUGGUCUGAGAGGAUGAUCAGCCACACUGGAACUGAGACACGGUCCAGACUCCUACGGGAGGCAGCAGUGGGGAAUUUUGGACAAUGGGCGCAAGCCUGAUCCAGCCAUGCCGCGUGAGUGAAGAAGGCCUUCGGGUUGUAAAGCUCUUUCGGCCGGGAAGAGAUCGGUGAGGCUAAUAUCCUCACUGGAUGACGGUACCGGAAUAAGAAGCACCGGCUAACUACGUGCCAGCAGCCGCGGUAAUACGUAGGGUGCGAGCGUUAAUCGGAAUUACUGGGCGUAAAGCGUGCGCAGGCGGUUUUGUAAGACAGGCGUGAAAUCCCCGGGCUCAACCUGGGAACUGCGCUUGUGACUGCAAGGCUAGAGUACGGCAGAGGGGGGUGGAAUUCCACGUGUAGCAGUGAAAUGCGUAGAGAUGUGGAGGAACACCGAUGGCGAAGGCAGCCCCCUGGGCCGAUACUGACGCUCAUGCACGAAAGCGUGGGGAGCAAACAGGAUUAGAUACCCUGAUAGUCCACGCCCUAAACGAUGUCAACUAGGUGUUGGGUGGGUAAAACCAUUUAGUACCGUAGCUAACGCGUGAAGUUGACCACCUGGGGAGUACGGCCGCAAGGUUAAAACUCAAAGGAAUUGACGGGGACCCGCACAAGCGGUGGAUGAUGUGAUUAUUCGAUGCAACGCGAAAACCUUACCUACUCUUGACAUGUCCAGAACCCUUGAGAGAUUGAGGGGUGCCCGAAAGGGAACUGAACACA